CAGCAGUGGGGAAUAUUGCACAAUGGGCGAAAGCCUGAUGCAGCGACGCCGCGUGAGGGAUGACGGCCUUCGGGUUGCAAACCUCUUUCAGCAGGGAAGAGGCUUAAUCGUGACGGUACCUGCAGAAGAAGCACCGGCUAACUACGUGCCAGCAGCCGCGGUAAUACGUAGGGUGCGAGCGUUGUCCGGAAUUAUUGGGCGUAAAGAGCUUGUAGGCGGUUUGUCGCGUCUGCUGUGAAAACUCGGGGCUUAACCCCGAGCCUGCAGUGGGUACGGGCAGACUAGAGUAUGGUAGGGGAGACUGGAAUUCCUGGUGUAGCGGUGGAAUGCGCAGAUAUCAGGAGGAACACCGAUGGCGAAGGCAGGUCUCUGGGCCAUAACUGACGCUGAGAAGCGAAAGCAUGGGGAGCGAACAGGAUUAGAUACCCUGGUAGUCCAUGCCGUAAACGUUGGGCGCUAGGUGUGGGGCUCAUUCCACGAGUUCCGUGCCGCAGCUAACGCAUUAAGCGCCCCGCCUGGGGAGUACGGCCGCAAGGCUAAAACUCAAAGGAAUUGACGGGGGCCCGCACAAGCGGCGGAGCAUGCUGAUUAAUUC
rnacentral:rRNA from 1 species